CAGUCGCAAGCAGAAUCCAGGAACUCACAACACUGAGGAGGGGCAGCUACACCGCGGCCUCCCAGGAAUGGAAGCAGCUAAGGCGGUCUCCAUGGAAACAGAAAAGAAGAGAGGCAAAUCGCUGUCUUCCACUCAGGGACCCGCCCUCAAGAUAAAUUAGCCAGUGAUUCGAAGGGGCUAGCAACAAGAAGGUAUCAUUGAUGGGGACGAGGGAAACCCGGGUCUGUCACUGUCCAAUCGCUUUUGAGGUUGGGCCCGCGGCUCUUUCCAGUAUUAACCAAUAGUGAGGGACGAUGAAAUAACCUCCGCCCGCCACUGGAGGAUGUCAGGAAGGAGGAAUGAAUUUUGAGUGGACGCUUCCGAUUAGUGGGUUUGGAACGCUGGGGCUGAAAGCCCACUUGUGAUUCGCUGCCUCUAGGACGAGGCCCCAGUGGGGAGGGGCUACAGCGGAGUUGGAGAUUGUGUGGAAAAGAGGCGGCCUCGGGGUCGGCUCUUGGGGAGAGGGCUGGCCAGAAUGCCCAGCACUAUACUUGGAGUGGGUGCAGAAGUAUUCAUCUUAGCGCUGCUCUGGGUGUUGAUAUUGCUGCUGUGUGUGCUGUUAUCCCGAGCCUCCAGUCUAGCUAGAUCCUUGACAAGUUCUUCAUUGGUCAUUAUGUUCUACUGGUUUUUCUCAAUGUUUUUU